CAGAUAUUUUACUGAUAUUCCAUUUUAUUUCAGCUCUGAUUUUUACUGUUUUUCACAUGGAUAGAUAUGAGGCAGUUAGGCCCAUUGAAACUGAUAAGAAACAGAUUUGUAAAGCUAUAGUAACAAUUCUGGAUGGCUCCUAAUAGUGUGGUAUGCAGUUUGGACUGACACAACAAUGGUCCAGGGCUCAAUCUCUGCCAGCUGCAAUCCUCUGCCGUCCUGCAGGAUGUUGGUGCGAGGACUAAAUAACUUAUAUUUCUUAAGGAACACCCGAAACUCGUAAAACAAAACAAUACUAUACUUUGUAUGCAUUAAGUUUAACGUCGUAGAAGUUUAAAUACCUAUGAAUUGCUGAAGAAAGCAGAAAAAGGGCCUACCCCGAAUAAUUUGGCGCUGAGAUUGUAAGAAUUAUCAGUGUCGAGAUUGUAAGAAUUGUCAGUGUCGACAUCAUCUAAUAUGAAGUGACCGUUCGCAAUGGACCCUUGCCACCCAGUGCGCUGAACGGCGCAAGGGGACCUAUGUUUUGGUAAGUCUAUAGAAUCUUUAAAGAUCCUCAAUAUUUAACUUACUUUAACCGAUCAUUCAAUUAUAGGUACUUCAGUACUUGUCGAUAAAGUUUUAAAUUGCACUUUAUAACGGAUGUGUGUUCGGUGAAUUUGGAGAAUUUUGUCACUAAAUUUCGAAAAGGUCUUUAAAUAUCAAAGA